rnacentral:lncRNA from 1 species
AUGAACAUCAUGGAUAAUCAUAUAAAUCUCAAACGACUCUCUGAAUUGACAGUUCUCGCUUAUGCCAUGACAGCAGUUGUUUCACGAGCAUCUAGAUCAUACUGUUGUGGCACUCAGAAUCAUGAUCAUGAAAUGCUGAUAGCUGAGAGUUUCGUGAAGGAAACGUAUGAAACCAUUGAUUUCAUAAUAGGUGAAAUACUUGAGAGUCCCACCCAAAAUACUGAUGAAACGUCAGUAAAAAUAGCAGAUAACAUUUUAAGUUCAAAGGGUAUGCAGCAGAACAUCCUGUUAAAAGAAACAUUAUUUAAAUAUUUUUCAAUGCAUUUCUUGUCUUAUGAUAUUUUUUUGUUAUUUCAUCCUUCAUGCAAGCUAUUUCUGGCUGGAAGUGGUAUUACUAUGUUAUCAAUCGUGAAUUAUUCCAAAGUUGCAUUAAAGUCUUUGCAUAAAAAGUGAAAUCAUUUGUCUCCUCAAUUCUCUUUCAAGCGUCAGAAAAAACACCUCUACUUAAGGAUAUUUAUUUCAAAAGGGCUGCUCAUACAUACACUACAUACAUACAUACUCAAUAUGUAACACUAAAUUUGAAUAGUAAUUAAGCGCGCAACGAUUCAGACUCUGGAGUAGGUAUGAAGUAUUACGCAAAAUUGAAGGAAAAUAAAAACUCAUUAUCCAUCUCAAGUUACUUGCUUUCAUGAAUAUCAUGCUCACAUCAAUACAAAAUAUGUCAAAAUAAAUCAAUACUUAUUUCCCAUGAUUUUUAUGGACAAAUUGUGUGAUCCUUUGAUUAUGUAAUCAAUAAUUUAAGAAAAUUGCGUCGGUGUUGCGGGUAUUGAACUAAACAAUGCAUGAUUUUCAAUGAUAUUACAUGCCCCCUGGAGAAAUCGCGUUUUUCCCGGAAAUUUUCUGUGAUUAUCGAAAAUUUUCUCAUUUUCUCACAAAAUUGCUGGAACAUUCACACAUUUCCUACAAAACCGAGAUGAAAUGAAAAUGAAAUGAGAUGACAUUUGUUUUGCUCUCCACAAAUCAGCUGUAAAUAUUGCGUCAUUUACGCAAUAUUGAGAUGAAAUUCGCGUAACAUCAUCUCUGUUUUACAUGCGGGAAUCAAGUGAGCAAGUAUUCGAACUCCCCUCUGUACUGCUGUGCUAAGGAAAAACGUCGUAUGAAUAUUGGAGAGGCCAAAUUUCCUCCGAUAAAAUUUUUACUUUUGAGAAAAAUUAUGAAUAUUUUUCCAUGAAAUUUUCAGAUAAUGUAGAUGAAUUGCGAACAAAAUUAUCUGAUUUGGAAGAAAAAUAUUCACAAGUUCACCAGGAAAUUCGUGUUUAAUCCAAGGAAAUUUGGCAACGCCUAAAGGUUCAUUCGGCGUUCUUCCUCAGGACGGUAGUGUAGGUAGGUGGUGUCAUGCAGUUUUAGCUUAUCUCAAGUUACAGGCUUCAUGAACAUUAUGCUCGCAUUAACAUUAAAGUUGCGUAUUUCCGACGAUAUACAUACAAUAGGGGCCUGAGGCCGCUGUGCGGCCGCCAACCACUGAAAAUAAGUAUACGUAAAAAUUCGUAGAACAUCAUGUUCAAAUUAUUUAAGAGAUGCAUGAAUUCAGAAGCUGACGGGUGCACGCAAAAGAAAGGGAAUGUAUCUCUGAUUCACCCAUUUUUUUUAUUCAUUGUUUUU